UCGGAAAUUUUUCUUCGUCUUGACCUCACUCUUUAGCACCUCACCGGUGCAACCGGUGAUUUAGCAUUGUUGCCAGAUUAUGAUACGUGUUAAAAAGCUUCUUAUCAUACGUGUCGUGCUUUGUGCAAGUGAAACUACGGCUUUAUAUUUGUUUACUCAUUGUUUAUCUGGUUUAUCUACUAAAAGCCUAAAAGCUUUCUCAGUAUGAAUAUGAACUGUACUGUCCAUGUUUUGUUUUACCAACUGGAAAGUGACUUGCCUUGCAUACGUUCCUGAAAUUCAGGACGUAAAGUUUUCAAUUUCAUCUAAUUCAAUUAAGUAUAUUUCGGUUUUUACUUGGUGAUUUUGUCCGCAUUGUGUUUCGUAGCAAUCGGAAUUGUUGUUCCAGCUUUACAUAGACGAGAGGUUUCACUGAUAAAUGUACUCGUUAUCCUUUGAAAAAUCUCUAAAAUGGAUGCUGAGAAUACUCAACAGAUUGUACAGUUUGGGCUAAUGGUUCUAGAAGAAUUGCGAAAAGGGAAUUCUGCAGCGUCAAGUGGAGACCUUCACUUAAAAAGACUUUCCGUUAAUAAGUUAACUUUUCACU